rnacentral:lncRNA from 1 species
CCCAAAAACCCGAUAAACAAUUUCUUUAGCCGACAUUUUGCUAGGCGGAGCGACUCCAGAAAGUCUGCGGCAGCGGGAGAAGUCAACAAUUUCGGACCAAAUCCCGAGAGUUAAGCUGCUCGCGACGGGAACCCAAACUGUGCUGUACAGCGUUCGCCGCGCUGCCACCUGAAAGUACAAAGUGUCGCCACGCAGAUGGUGGGUCAGACAGGUUUCACCGAGAGUCUGACGCGCUUUUGUCCCGUGAGCCGUUGCCAGUAAAUGGGGAAGAAAGUCAUCACUGCAUGGUAACGAUCUACGCGGCAGUGCAACAAAUUGUCUUGAUGCCUAGCCAAACCAAGCAAAUCACAGAAUUGGUUUCUCCGUUUGACUGACACUAGGCUACAUCUGUCUCUUUCUGUGCGCCCGACUACCAGAUGAACAGACAGAAUUGUGGAUUUCUACGGUGAAAAGCGAUCGGCGUUGCUUGGGCGUUUUGCGAAUUUAGAGAGGUGAUGCUCGUUAGCUCACAAGCUGAACAGCCUCAGUCUCUACGGGACUCUUCGCCUUUGCCUUCAUGCGUGUCGACUCUGCCAUCAACAGCCGCGCGCCUUGGGCGAAGGAGCAGCUGUUGGUUGGGAGACUAAGCAACUCGUGGUACGGCUCAGUCCAGGUGUCCUUUGUUGUUGACCUAAUGAACUCCGUGACAGCCUGAAGAUCGGGCUCGGGCGUGCCUGGAAGCAAAGCGGUUAACGCGUGUUCGUCGCCAGUCACAAGGUAUUCGUUUGUUAAAAUUGUCCGUCGGGAAAACGACUGUACGUGGUGGACUCUCUCGAGGUCCCAACUGCCCCCAGGCAUGUACUGCAAAUCUGAAGUUUCCCCACGGAGUGUUGUUCCAUUAAGUAACUGUAUACUCCAUGCGGCAUCCUUCUUAGCCUACAACUGAUUCAGUCGCCAGCUGUCCGGACCAAAGAAGUGCUCCAAACAAGAGGUACGCCCACAUUUCUGAGAUAACUCUGCUUGAGGUGGUUUCGCAUCAUCAGAUCAUGUGCUUACGUGCCGGAAAGUAGGGGUGCUCAAGGCUGCCGUUCAUCUUCUCGAACAGCUCUGCGAGAGGAACGAGAGAAAUCGAAGGGGGAGACAGCACCAGUGACAAGCAAACUGUCUUUCGCUGACUAACAGAGCACUUCCUACUAAGUAUAUGUUGGUGGGUUCGGAAAUGAGACGACACAACCCUCUCUUGUCCAGGCAAGCCGUCGGAUAGAGAGUGGAAACGGUGACGGGUAACUGUUGCAGCUUGAAGGGUGUAAGGCUUCCGCUCCACGUAUUGGGGCUACCUAAAGUAUGUGAUUACCUGGAAAAGGCUGGGAGCCUAGGCCUUCGGCGGCAGCGUCAACGUCCUGCAGCAGGGUGUCGGAUUGAUGCUCACAGGAACUCCUAAGUAUCUGGUUUCUGCCAAAUCCGCGGCAGAAGCGUCGGGCCGCCUCCCGCCGCUUCUUUGCAUCCAAGAGUCUUACACAUUUCAGAGCCUCUGUUGGAUGACAGCGACACCAAAACAAGCGAAAAAGGGACUGCAUCAUGAGGUGAACGAAUUCUGUGGUUCACUCCAUUCAUAUGGUCUACGCUGAAGAACUUGGUAGAGAACCAGCUGCUGAGCAGGAUGGUCGCAAUGGACUCACCAUCCGCUUGGCCUUGAUGGAAAAAGUCGUAGAAGGAUUUUCCAUUGUUGAGAACUGACUCCGGGUCGUCCUGCGCAUGCGUGACCAAAAGAGGAAAUAUCGGAUUUCUCGAAGACAAUCAGAAGUAUUCUCGCGUGUCCAACGCAAUAUCACAUAGAGCCUACGCUGGUCUGCGAUUCUUUGAUAUCCCAUACGCACUGCAAAUUCCAGCGCGAUUAUUUUCAAUCCGUGUACCUCCUGCAGGGGAUGAAGACGUUCAGUCCUCGGUCAUUCCGUCUGAUGAUACGCGACUCUUUUUCUGCUACUGGUUUUUGGAUGCUACCUUCCAAGCACCCCAAUCAAGCAGCAAUGGCAACCGUCUGUGGCAUCAGCUCCUAAAUGUAUUGUUUCAUUUAUUCCACCCUUGGGCGCAGUUCACUCAAGCGUCUGUCACAAAUCAUACCUUUAUGUUUUUCUGCGCAGAAUGCUGAGACGCCUGUGACGUGGCCGGUUGCGGAGCUGCAACAUCCCGAAGCGCAGUUGGCGCUGACGGGGCGUUCUCAAUCGUUAACGCAAGAACGUCAGUGCUUCUUCCUGGAACAGAACAACAGAAAGAUGGACAAACAUAACGCAACGUUACUGGCGCGAUUUUCGUCUCGCCAAGGUGAUGACUGAAGUCAACUUUGAUCACGGGAUACGGAGGAAAAACGUGAGGUUGUGAGCUUAAGAAAAGGUCACCCAGUGAACCUCGCCGCACAGAGUCCGGUUUUCAGGCGCAGCUUGAGCAAAAAAGAGCUCUUGAAAACAAACUGGCUUCUUGCCGCAGGCUGUGCUUAAUCGACGCUACCGAUUGCGCCAGUGGAACAGUCGAGCGGAUUCCAAAUGGGCAAGGCAGGAAGGCCACCGUGUUGAAGCAACAAGGGCACGGCAGUAGUUUUCCUUCGAACGUGGGGCGCAGGAGUGGCAAACGGCGAAGGAGGAUCGGGCAUAUUGCCAUUUUAUGCCUUCUUUGAACAAGCCACAAAAAAGCUGAGUGUCAUGAUCCGCGGUGAGACACUCACGUGGGAGGCGUCCGCCUGAAGUCCCGACAGCUGGAGCCCUACAUCGCCCUACAUCCAUCAGAUUCCCAGUGAUGCAAAAAACAGGUGGAUUACGCUGAUACUCUGACAGUUGGGUUUUCUGUGAAAGGCAUGUUGAGGACAUCAGAGUAGGUUAGCGCUAAUAAACCUCUGUCGUAUGCGUCAACGACUCACCAUUGGAACGGACGUCCAGGCCCAGGAGACUAAGAACCACGAACAAAGCCAGGAAAGGACAGGAAGUAGUGGAGCGUACAGAGCGAACCCAACUCAUCGUGGGAAGCAAAUUGGGGUCACAUCUGUGUAGAAGGCAACAUCUCAAAAAAGCAUGCCUGUUGGCGGUCAGCAACACGUGGAAUCGGCUUUCUGUCGUGCCUGGCCCUCGUUCCUGUCGCGGCUGGUGGCCUGGGCUACCGAGCUCCCUUUAAUUACUCGUGGUAUCCCCACAAAUUCCCCGAAUUGAACCGAAAAAAUAUCAGGCGUUGAAACGGGUAAACCCAGGUUGAUUCCACGGAUCGUUCUCAGCGGCGAGAGGCCUUGUCAUUCUGCUGCAGGAACCUACCAGACAGCACUGCAACCUGUUGCCUACCGCGCGGUCGUGCAACGACCGCUCUCGUCGGGGCCCUGCACCUUUACGCUGUGUCUUGCACAAGACGCUGGCACUGUCGUGCCUUAUGCCAGUCCCCCAGAAGGCAUAGGCGCCUCCGGUCUGUGUACUGUAACAUCCUUGCUGAAUGUCCCAAUAAAAUAAAUGGGUAGGGAAGGGAACACUGGCACAGCUGGAAGUUGUUUGAGGGUCAUCCCUGGUUGCAGGGAAGAGGCGCAUCGUUCACUACAAAGAGCAACGGGCCCGGUGCAGGUACGCACCACGAAAAACGCACGAAGAAAAAAACAGCCCACUCAUAUAGCUUUUACCAGUGCACGUUGUGAAUGCCUUCUGGGAAAAAGUGGUCACACAUUUGUAUGCGACUGACCUCGCCAGCUCAAGCUGUGUUCUGAAUUCGACAGGUUCACGGGGGCUCCAGGGUCAAUCCCUGGCUGGACCCAUCUCGGUGUCCAAAGGCAUUUCAGGAAGAUGUCCAAAAAUACCACGCAUUAAACACAUUUUCAUGAGCGAUUUCGUUUAUUUCUCUGUCACUGGUCUCUUGGCGAACUCGUACUCUGAAUUCACGGUUGUCUCAGUACUGAAUUGCACGGUCUCGAACAUCGUAGGCAAGCAGCAGCGUACCUGAUGACACACUGAGGAAAGCGCGCGGACUCGCAAGUUAAAGCAAGAUCCUUUCUACCGUUCCAUUCUGAUGUGAGUCUUUUGGCUCGUUUGAGGCAACUGCAACCUUGCAGGAAAGUGCCGGACAAGUCACUGGUGUCAGUGUGUUGUACUGAAUAUUGUAGUGAUGGUGCACCUGGGUAAAACUCGAGAGCUGCUCAGUAAUCGUGGUUUACCUCUUAGCUGAUGUGCAUGUCAGUCAACGAAGUACGGUGCCGGUAAAUGAUGUUGGGAUGCAACGUCAUUUCUCGAUAAGAACCAGAUUAGAUCUAGCAGGUAUUUUUCGCAAUUUCGUUCAGUGUGAAGGAUCAAUGACAGACUAGGGUACGGCAAAACGACGAGAAUUUCCGUAGAGUAGUCCUUCGAAUGUUCUUGGCACAACACGUCGACGCUCCUAUACCGACUUCAUCUGUUCUGUUAACACGUCCUCGUCCGUUCAACGUCCUUGGUGUUGGUGAUAUGCGGCUUCUGGUGAUGGGGGACCCCAGCACAAUGGAAAAUGUUAUGCUGUGCCGAACGGCGUUAUACAGUCGCACGUAGCUCCGAAUAAAUCAAUCGCUUCCAACGUGUUAAUGCUUCUCAAUCGGCACUUUCUUAUGUGUGUAACUGUGAAGCCGCGCUCUCAAAUAUUUCUUCGACGUUAAACUUCAUUGCUUGUCAGGAUAGAGGUCGACAAGUACCAUAUGUUGAAAAAACACUCUAUCGGCGGCGAACCCUCAAACAUUUUGUGAGCG